rnacentral:rRNA from 1 species
GACGAACCGUACGAACGUUAUUCGGAAUUACUGGGCUUAAAGGGUGCGUAGGCGGCGCAGUAAGUUGGGUGUGAAAUCCCUCGGCUUAACCGAGGAAUUGCGCCCAAAACUACUGUGCUCGAGGGAGGUAGAGGUGAGCGGAACUUAGGGUGGAGCGGUGAAAUGCGUUGAUAUCCUAAGGAACACCGGUGGCGAAAGCGGCUCACUGGACCUCUUCUGACGCUGAGGCACGAAAGCUAGGGUAGCAAACAGGA